rnacentral:rRNA from 1 species
GCUAUCACUCCUACGGGGAGGCAGCAGUGGGGAAUAUUGCACAAUGGGCGCAAGCCUGAUGCAGCCAUGCCCGCGUGUGUGAAGAAGGGCCUUCGGGGUUGUAAAAGCACUUUCAGUUGUGAGGAAGGUGGUGUCGUUAAUAGCGGCAUCAUUUGACGUUAGCAACAGAAGAAGCACCGGCUAACUCCGUGCCAGCAGCCGCGGUAAUACGGAGGGUGCGAGCGUUAAUCGGAAUUACUGGGCGUAAAGCGCAUGCAGGUGGUUUGUUAAGUCAGAUGUGAAAGCCCGGGGCUCAACCUCGGAACUGCAUUUGAAACUGGCAGACUAGAGUACUGUAGAGGGGGGUAGAAUUUCAGGUGUAGCGGUGAAAUGCGUAGAGAUCUGAAGGAAUACCGGUGGCGAAGGCGGCCCCCUGGACAGAUACUGACACUCAGAUGCGAAAGCGUGGGGAGCAAACAGGAUUAGAUACCCUGGUAG